CCUACGGGAUGCAGCAGUGAGGAAUAUUGGUCAAUGGACGCAAGUCUGAACCAGCCAUGCUGCGUGCAGGAAGACGGCUCUAUGAGUUGUAAACUGCUUUUGUACGAGGGUAAACGCAGAUACGCGUAUCUGUCUGAAAUUAUCGUACGAAUAAGGAUCGGCUAACUCCGUGCCAGCCGCCGCGGUAAUAUGGAGGAUUCAAGCGUUGUCUGGAUUUAUUUGGUUUAAAGGGUGCGUAGGCGGUCGGAUAAGUUAGAUGUGAAAUCCCGAGCCGUAACUUCGGAAUUGCCUCUGUUACUGGUCGGCUAGAGAGUAGUUGCGGUAGGCGGAAUGUAGGGGGUAGCGGUGAAAUGCUUAGAGAUCAUACAGAACACCGAUUGCGAAGGCAGCUUACCAAGCUACUUCUGACGUUGAGGCACGAAAGCGUGGGGAGCAAACAGGAUUAGAUACCCUUGUAGUC
rnacentral:rRNA from 1 species